rnacentral:rRNA from 1 species
GCAAGUCGAACGAGAAAGCUUCUUCGGAAGUGAUUAGAGUGGCGCACGGGUGAGUAACGCGUAGAUAACCUACCUUUUAGUCUGGGAGAACAUCUCGAAAGGAAUUCUAAUACUGGAUAAUAUAUAAAGCCUAGUGGUUUUAUAUUAAAAGACUUCGGUCGCUAUUAGAUGGGUCUGCGUUCCAUUAGCUAGUUGGUAGGGUAAUGGCCUACCAAGGCAACGAUGGUUAGCGGGUUUGAGAGGAUGAUC